UACGUAGGGACCGAGCGUUGUCCGGAAUCAUUGGGCGUAAAGAGCGUGUAGGCGGCUGACCAAGUCCUGCGUGAAAUCUUGCGGCUCAACCGCAAGCGGUCGUGGGAAACUGGUCGGCUAGAGUGCGGGAGAGGAGAGUGGAAUUCCUGGUGUAGCGGUGAAAUGCGCAGAUAUCAGGAAGAACACCCGUGGCGAAGGCGGCUCUCUGGAACGCAACUGACGCUGAGACGCAAAAGCGUGGGGAGCAAACAGG
rnacentral:rRNA from 1 species